GAUGAACGCUAGCUACAGGCUUAACACAUGCAAGUCGAGGGGCAGCACAGUGUAGCAAUACACGGGUGGCGACCGGCGCACGGGUGCGUAACGCGUAUCCAACCUUCCCGUUACUCUUGGAUAGCCUUCCGAAAGGGAGAUUAAUACAAGAUGGUAUUCAAAUUCCGCAUGUUAUUUGAAUUAAAGAUUUAUCGGUAACGGAUGGGGAUGCGUGACAUUAGAUAGUAGGCGGGGUAACGGCCCACCUAGUCUACGAUGUCUAGGGGUUCUGAGAGGAAGGUCCCCCACACUGGAACUGAGACACGGUCCAGACUCCUACGGGAGGCAGCAGUGAGGAAUAUUGGUCAAUGGUCGGAAGACUGAACCAGCCAAGUAGCGUGAAGGAUGAAGGUUCUAUGGAUUGUAAACUUCUUUUAUACGGGAAUAAAACCACCUACGUGUAGGUGCUUGUAUGUACCGUAUGAAUAAGCAUCGGCUAACUCCGUGCCAGCAGCCGCGGU
rnacentral:rRNA from 1 species